UUCGCAAUGCCCGAAAGGGUGACGGAGCGACGCCGCGUGCAGGAUGAAGUCCUUCGGGAUGUAAACUGCUGUCAGAGGAAAGAAAGUUCUGAUCGACCUCAGAGGAAGGCACGGCUAACUCUGUGCCAGCAGCCGCGGUAAGACAGAGGUGCCAAGCGUUAGGCGGAAUCACUGGGCUUAAAGCGUGUGUAGGCGGAUCGUUAAGUGCCUUGUGAAAUCCCACGGCUCAACCGUGGAAAGGCUGGGCAUACUGGCGGUCUUGAGCUGCCUAGGGGCAACUGGAACAAACGGUGGAGCGGUGAAAUGCGUAGAUAUCGUUUGGAACGCCAACGGUGAAAACAGGUUGCUGGGGGCAAGCUGACGCUGAGACACGAGAGCCAGGGGAGCAAACGGGAUUAGAUACCCCGGUAGUCCUGGCCCUAAACGAUGGGCACUAAGUAGAGGGGUUUU
rnacentral:rRNA from 1 species